rnacentral:rRNA from 1 species
UACGAAGGGGGCUAGCGUUGCUCGGAAUCACUGGGCGUAAAGGGUGCGUAGGCGGGUCUUUUAAGUCAGGGGUGAAAUCCUGGAGCUCAACUCCAGAACUGCCUUUGAUACUGAGGAUCUUGAGUUCGGGAGAGGUGAGUGGAACUGCGAGUGUAGAGGUGAAAUUCGUAGAUAUUCGCAAGAACACCAGUGGCGAAGGCGGCUCACUGGCCCGAUACUGACGCUGAGGUGCGAAAGCGUGGG